rnacentral:sRNA from 1 species
ACCUGAUGGGGAAAUGGACUCGCAUGGCCAGAAACCCUAGCCUCCAUCCCCUCCCGAGCCUUCGCCGCCGCAAGUAGAUCUGAGACUCUCUGUUUUUUUUCCCCUUUUGUAUCUGAAUCUCUCUGAGCAAUCCAGCAGGAUCAGAUCUGUAAGGCGUAGGAGUAGUGAUCUGAAAUCCGUCAGCAGUAGUUGAUACAUCUGGGUUUUUUUGGUUAUUGUUGUUUUUUAUGUGAUUUUUGUGGUUUGUGUGUGAGUUGGGUGAAUCAAGUGGAUCGAUGAUGCUUUUCAAG